CCUACGGGGGGCAGCAGUGGGGAAUAUUGCACAAUGGGGGAAACCCUGAUGCAGCGACGCCGCGUGAGUGAAGAAGUAUUUCGGUAUGUAAAGCUCUAUCAGUAGGGAAGAAAAUGACGGUACCUGAUUAAGAAGCCCCGGCUAACUACGUGCCAGCAGCCGCGGUAACACGUAGGGGGCAAGCGUUAUCCGGAUUUACUGGGCGGAAAGGGAGCGUAGACGGGAGCACAAGUCUGGAGUGAAAUGCCGGGGCUUAACCCCGGAACUGCUUUGGAAACUGGGCAGCUAGAGUGCAGGAGAGGUAAGUGGAAUGCCUGGUGUAGCGGUGAAAUGCGUAGAUAUUAGGAGGAACACCAGUGGCGAAGGCGGCUUACUGGACUGUAACUGACGUUGAGGCUCGAAAGCGUGGGGAGCAAACAGGAUUAGAUACCCUGGUAGUC
rnacentral:rRNA from 1 species